CCUACGGGAGGCAGCAGUGGGGAAUCUUCCGCAAUGGGCGCAAGUCUGACGGAGCAACGCCGCGUGAAUGAAGAAGGUCUUCGGAUCGUAAAGUUCUGUUCUAAGGGAAGAAGUCGUAGGUUGUGAAUAAUGACUUAAGGUGACGGUACCUAUGGAGAAAGCGACGGCUAACUACGUGCCAGCAGCCGCGGUAAUACGUAGGGAGCGAGCGUUGUCCGGAAUUAUUGGGCGUAAAGGGCGCGCAGGCGGGAACUUAAGUUCGAAGUUAAAACGCCGGGCUUAACCAGUAGACCGCAUUUAAAACUGGGUUUCUUGAGUGCAGGAGGGGAGAGUGGAAUUCCUAGUGUAGCGGUGAAAUGCGUAGAUAUUAGGAGGAACACCAGUGGCGAAGGCGACUUUCUGGCCUGUACCUGACGCUGAGGCGCGAAAGCAUGGGGAGCGAACAGGAUUAGAUACCCCAGUAGUC
rnacentral:rRNA from 1 species